GGCCCUAUAGCUCAGUGGUUAGAGCACUGGUCUUGUAAACCAGGGGUCGCGAGUUCAAAUCUCGCUGGGGCCU
rfam:Xiphophorus maculatus strain JP 163 A Contig163.13, whole genome shotgun sequence.